rnacentral:rRNA from 1 species
AUUGAACGCUGGCGGCAGGCCUAACACAUGCAAGUCGAAUGGUAACAGGAAACAGCUUGCUGUUUCGCUGACGAGUGGCGGACGGGUGAGUAAUGUCUGGGAAACUGCCUGAUGGAGGGGGAUAACUACUGGAAACGGUAGCUAAUACCGCAUAACGUCGCAAGACCAAAGAGGGGGACCUUCGGGCCUCUUGCCAUCAGAUGUGCCCAGAUGGGAUUAGCUAGUAGGUGGGGUAACGGCUCACCUAGGCGACGAUCCCUAGCUGGUCUGAGAGGAUGACCAGCCACACUGGAACUGAGACACGGUCCAGACUCCUACGGGAGGCAGCAGUGGGGAAUAUUGCACAAAGGGCGCAGGCCUGAUGCAGCCAUGCCGCGUGUAUGAAGAAGGCCUUCGGGUUGUAAAGUACUUUCAGCGGGGAGGAAGGGAGUAAAGUUAAUACCUUUGCUCAUUGACGUUACCCGCAGAAGAAGCACCGGCUAACUCCGUG